rnacentral:rRNA from 1 species
GCCAAGCCAUAUCACCCAUGCAACCCAAGACUGGUUACUCUCUGAAGCUAAGCAGGACUGAGCCUUGUCAGUUCCUCGAUGGGAGACCACAUGAGAAAAAUAGGUAGCUGUUGGAA